UACGUAGGGUGCAAGCGUUGCCCGGAUUUAUUGGGCGUAAAGGGCGCGCAGGCGGCCGAGCACGUCCGUUGUGAAAUCGCCUGGCUCAACUGGGCGGGGUCAGCGGAUACGGCUAGGCUGGAGCAAGCUAGGGGGCAAUGGAAUUCCCGGUGUAGUGGUGGAAUGCGUAGAUAUCGGGAGGAACACCGGUGGCGAAGGCGGGUCUCUGGGCCGAUACUGACGCUGAGGAGCGAAAGCGUGGGGAGCGAACAGG
rnacentral:rRNA from 1 species